rnacentral:rRNA from 1 species
GUGGGGAAUAUUGGACAAUGGGCGAAAGCCUGAUCCAGCCAUGCCGCGUGUGUGAAGAAGGUCUUCGGAUUGUAAAGCACUUUAAGUUGGGAGGAAGGGUUGUACGUUAAUACCGUGCAAUUUUGACGUUACCGACAGAAUAAGCACCGGCUAACUUCGUGCCAGCAGCCGCGGUAAUACGAAGGGUGCAAGCGUUAAUCGGAAUUACUGGGCGUAAAGCGCGCGUAGGUGGUUCAGUAAGUUGGAAGUGAAAUCCCCGGGCUCAACCUGGGAACUGCUUUCAAAACUGCUGAGCUAGAGUACGGUAGAGGGUAGUGGAAAUUCCUGUGUAGCGGUGAAAUGCGUAGAUAUAGGAAGGAACACCAGUGGCGAAGGCGACUACCUGGACUGAUACUGACACUGAGGUGCGAAAGCGUGGGGAGCAAACAGGAUUAGAAACCCGUGUAGUCC